UGGGCUGUAGCUCAGUGGUAGAGCGCUUGCCUAGCAUGUGUGAGGCACUGGGUUCGAUCCCCAUCAGCACAU
rnacentral:tRNA from 1 species